rnacentral:piRNA from 1 species
UCACUUCCCACCUCUUAAUACUGCCACA